UGAGUAACCUGCCCUUAACUCUGGGAUAAGCCUGGGAAACUGGGUCUAAUACCGGAUAUGACUCCUCAUCGCAUGGGUGGGGGGUGGAAAGCUUUAUUGUUGGUUUUGGAUGGACUCGCGGCCUAUCAGCUUGUUGGUGAGGUAAUGGCUCACCAAGGCGACGACGGGUAGCCGGCCUGAGAGGGUGACCGGCCACACUGGGACUGAGACACGGCCCAGACUCCGUACGGGAGCAG
rnacentral:rRNA from 1 species